CCUACGGGAGGCUGCAGUGAGGAAUAUUGGUCAAUGGGCGUAAGCCUGAACCAGCCAAGUCGCGUGAGGGAUGAAGGUUCUAUGGAUCGUAAACCUCUUUUAUAAGGGAAUAAAGUGUGGGACGUGUCCUAUUUUGUAUGUACCUUAUGAAUACGGAUCGGCUAACUCCGUGCCAGCAGCCGCGGUAAUACGGAGAAUCCGAGCGUUAUCCGGAUUUAUUGGGUUUAAAGGGUGCGUAGGCGGCCUUUUAAGUCAGCGGUGAAAGUCUGUGUCUCAACGAUAGAAUUGACGUUGAAACUGGGGGGCUUGAGUAUGUUUGAGGCAGGCGGAAUGGGUGGUGUAGCGGUGACAUGCUUAGAUAUCACGCAGAACCCCGAGUGCGAAGGCAGCCUGCCAAGCCAUGACUGACGCUGAUGCACGAACGCGUGGGGAUCAAACAGGAUUAGAUACCCGGGUAGGC
rnacentral:rRNA from 1 species